AGUUCCCUGGAGGCUUUUUGAUACUGAUUCGCGUACACCUGUUGUUUGAAAGCUCUCAGCGGGACAAUGCUGACCCAGAGACACGUCCUUGAUAUGUUUUCCAGUCUGGUCUUGAACUGGGAAAUGAUCCUCUCGCCUCGUCCCUGCAAAGCAUGAGCCAGCUGGAGUACAGUGGCGCGAUCUCAGCUCACUGCAACCUCCACCUCCUGAGUUCAAGCGAUUCUCCCACCUCAGCCCCCUGAGUAGGUGGGGUUACAGGCGCCCACCACUACUCCCGGCUAAUUUUUGUAUUUUUAGUAGAGACGGGUUUCCCGUGUUGGCCAACCUGGUCUUGAACUCCAGACCUCAUGUGAUCCUCCCGCCUCUGCCUCCCACAGUGCUGGGAUUACAGCUGAAAGCAAAAUCAGAGGGGAAGCUUGCAAAACAGAUUUGCAAAGUUGUGUUGGAUCAUUUUGAAAAACAGUAUUCCAAAGAACUCGGAGAUGCCUGGAAUACAGUAAGGGAGAUACUAACAUCUCCAUCAUGCUGGCAAUAUGCUGUCCUGCUUAACCGAUUCAAUUAUCCUUUUGAA
rnacentral:sRNA from 1 species